CCUACGGGUGGCAGUAGUGAGGAAUAUUGGUCAAUGGGCGCGAGCCUGAACCAGCCAAGUAGCGUGAAGGAUGACUGCCCUACGGGUUGUAAACUUCUUUUAUAAAGGAAUAAAGUGCGGCACGUGUGCCUUUUUGUAUGUACUUUAUGAAUAAGGAUCGGCUAACUCCGUGCCAGCAGCCGCGGUAAUACGGAGGAUCCGAGCGUUAUCCGGAUUUAUUGGGUUUAAAGGGAGCGUAGAUGGGCUGUUAAGUCAGUUGUGAAAGUUUGCGGCUCAACCGUAAAAUUGCAAUUGAUACUGGCAGGCUUGAGUACAGUUGAGGUAGGCGGAAUGCGUGGUGUAGCGGUGAAAUGCUUAGAUAUCACGAAGAACUCCGAUUGCGAAGGCAGCUUACUAAGCUGUGACUGACAGUGAUGCACGAAAGUGUGGGUAUCAAACAGGAUUAGAUACCCCAGUAGUC
rnacentral:rRNA from 1 species